UAGCAGUUUGAAAGCACACCAGUGCAAGUAGAUAUAUAGGUACCACUGCAGCGGGAAAGUGAACGGUGUUUCCGUGCACUUUGGCACUCGUCACGGUGUCCCAUUGUGCCAGAAGCAGUUUAGUCCUGCUGGCCACAUGACUUGGAAAGCUGUCUGUGGACAAACACCAGCUCCCUUGGCUUGAAAAAUGAGAUGAGCGCCGCAACCCCAUAGUCGCCUUUGACUGGACUUAACUGUCCAGGGGUCCUUUACCUUUUACAUUAGAAGAUGUAUUUCAGGAAAUGAAAGUCUUGGCCAAAUGAGGAGUACAAAAAAGUACAAAUUUUGGCAAUGAAGUACAAGUAGAC